rnacentral:rRNA from 1 species
GAUGAACGCUGGCGGCGUGCCUAAUACAUGCAAGUCGAGCGAACAGACGAGGAGCUUGCUCCUCUGACGUUAGCGGCGGACGGGUGAGUAACACGUGGAUAACCUACCUAUAAGACUGGGAUAACUUCGGGAAACCGGAGCUAAUACCGUAUAAUAUAUUGAACCGCAUGGUUCAAUGGUGAAAGACGGUUUUGCUGUCACUUAUAGAUGGAUCUCGGCCGCAUUAGCUAGUUGGUAAGGUAACGGCUUACCAAGGCGACGAUGCGUAGCCGACCUGAUAGGGGGAUAGGCCACACUGGAACUGAGCCACGGUCCAGACUCCUACGGGAGGCAGCAGUAGGGAAUCUUCGGCAGUGGGCGAAAGCCUGACGGAGCAACGCCGAGUGAGUGAUGAAGGUCUUCGGAUCGUAAAACUCUGUUAUUAGGGAAGAACAAAUGUGUAAGUAACUAUGCACGUCUUGACGGUACCGAAUCAGAAAGCCACGGCUAACUACGUG